AGCGCAGGCGGUUAUUUAAGUCAGGUGUGAAAGCCCCGAGCUCAACUUGGGACGUGCAUUUGAAACUGGGUAACUAGAGUGUGUCAGAGGGGGGUAGAAUUCCACGUGUAGCAGUGAAAUGCGUAGAGAUGUGGAGGAAUACCGAUGGCGAAGGCAGCCCCCUGGGAUAACACUGACGCUCAUGCUCGAAAGCGUGGGUAGCAAACA
rnacentral:rRNA from 1 species